CCUACGGGAGGCAGCAGUAGGGAAUAUUGCACAAUGGGCGAAAGCCUGAUGCAGCAACGUCGCGUGCGCGAUGAAGGCCUUCGGGUUGUAAAGCGCUUUUCGGGGAGAAGAGGAAGGACGGUAUCCCCGGAAUAAGGUUCGGCUAACUACGUGCCAGCAGCCGCGGUAAAACGUAGGAACCGAGCGUUAUCCGAAUUUACUGGGCGUAAAGCGCGUGUAGGCGGUUCGGUAAGUUGGAUGUGAAAGCUCCUGGCUCAACUGGGAGAGGACGUUCAAUACUGUCGGACUAGAGGGCAGCAGAGGGAGGUGGAAUUCCCGGUGUAGUGGUGAAAUGCGUAGAUAUCGGGAGGAACACCAGUGGCGAAGGCGGCUCGCUGGGCCUUUUCUGACGCUGAAGCGCGAAAGCGUGGGGAGCAAACAGGAUUAGAUACCCUGGUAGUCCACGCCGUAAACGCUGGGUACUAGGUGUUGGGAGGAUUGACCCUUUCAGUGCCGACGCUAACGCAUUAAGUACCCCGCCUGGGGAGUACGGCCGCAAGGCUGAAACUCAAAGGAAUUGACGG
rnacentral:rRNA from 1 species